rnacentral:tRNA from 1 species
GGGGUUGUGACUCAGUGGUAGGGUACUUGCCUUGCAUGUGUGAGGCACUGGGUUUGAUUCUCAGCACCCCA